rnacentral:rRNA from 1 species
UGGCGGCGUGCCUAAUCAUGNCAGUCGAGCGAACAGAUGAGGAGCUUGCUCCUUUGAUGUUAGCGGCGGACGGGUGAGUAACACGUGGGUAACCUACCUAUAAGACUGGGAUAACUUCGGGAAACCGGAGCUAAUACCGGAUAAUAUUUCGAACCGCAUGGUUCGAUAGUGAAAGAUGGCUCUGCUAUCACUUAUAGAUGGACCUGCGCCGUAUUAGCUAGUUGGUAAGGUAACGGCUUACCAAGGCAACGAUACGUAGCCGACCUGAGAGGGUGAUCGGCCACACUGGAACUGAGACACGGUCCAGACUCCUACGGGAGGCAGCAGUAGGGAAUCUUCCGCAAUGGGCGAAAGCCUGACGGAGCAACGCCGCGUGAGUGAUGAAGGUCUUCGGAUCGUAAAACUCUGUUAUUAGGGAAGAACAAACGUGUAAGUAACUGUGCACGUCUUGACGGUACCUAAUCAGAAAGCCACGGCUAACUACGUGCCAGCAGCCGCGGUAAU